GAAAACUUGGUCCUAAUUUCCAUUACUUUUCUAACCUAUAAUGAUACAUGCAAAGGAGACCACCCCCUUAACCAGUGAGGACUUUACUUAUAAAUAAAUAUUUAUAGAAAAAUGGUAUAAGAAAAAGAUUUUUUUUUUCAAACAUAGAAACCCACAACAGCAGUACUAGAAAUUAAGCAAUUAGUAAAAGCUAGACUUAAUAAUAGAAUUUAGAAUUGGUAAAAAUACGUGCCAGCCACCGCGGUUAUACGUAAAAUACAAAAAGUAAUUUUAACCACUCUUAGUGAUCAAAUUCUAACUAAACAAAUAAAGUGAAAAGAAUUUUAUUUUAAAUUAACAGUCAAAUGUAAAAAAUAAAAGAAAACCCUUUACGCAAAAGCAUUUCACUAAAUAAAACAUAAUCACGUAAAUAUAAAAACAAACCAGGAUUAGAGACCCUGCUAUGUUAAACCGUAAACAAAAAGAAAGAACUACUAGUAAAAACUUAAAACUUAAAGGACUUGGCGGUCUUUUAGACCUUCCUAGAGGAGCCUGUCACAUAAUAGAUAAACCACAAAACACCUUACCUACCUAAGAAAACAGUUUGUAUAUCAUCAUCGUCAGCUCACCUUAUAAAAGAAAGUAAGCACAAAGGAUAAAUUUCCUAAACGUUAGAUCAAGAUGCAACCAAUAGACAGGAGAUUGAUGGGCUACAAUAUUCAAAACGAAAAACGAAUUUUUAACUUAAACAAGAAAAAGAAGUAGGAUUUAGCAGUAAGAGAAAUUAAGAAAAGACCCCUGAAAAAGCUCUAAAAUACGUACACACCGCCCGUCACUCUCUUUAUCAUAAAAAGAGAAAAGUCGUAACAAGGUAAGAGUAGGGGAACCUGCUCUUGGAAG
rnacentral:ncRNA from 1 species